rnacentral:rRNA from 1 species
UACGUAGGUGGCAAGCGUUGUCCGGAAUUAUUGGGCGUAAAGCGCGCGUAGGCGGCUUUGUAAGUUAGAGGUGAAAGCCCGGAGCUCAACUCCGGAACUGCCUUUAAGACUGCAUCGCUAGAACGUUGGAGAGGUGAGUGGAAUUCCGAGUGUAGAGGUGAAAUUCGUAGAUAUUCGGAGGAACACCAGUGGCGAAGGCGGCUCACUGGUCCAUUACUGACGCUGAGGUGCGAAAGCGUGGGGAGCAAACAGG